UGCUUUUAUUUAUUUUGUAGUAUGUGCAUUACAGGAAACAAAACACAAGAAGCCAAGAACAGUCUCCCAGUCAUAAGCGCUCAGCUUGCUGUGUCCUUCUAGAUGCUGUAAUGUACACACAUUUAGGGAAUUGAGAUUAUACAAUUAUGUAUCAAGCUUUCCCCCACACACACAUUGUGAAUAUUCACCAACUAAAACCCCCAACGCUACAUGAGUAUUUUGAUAACCAAGAACACACCACGCCAUCUCAAUCUGUCAGACAAGACUGUAAUCCUGUCUUCCUUGGCAACAAAAAUUUCAUAGAAGACAAAAAUGGCAGCAGGGCUUCUAGAUAGAAAUACUGGCGAAGUUACAAUUAAAAUUCUGCAUUCCCUCAAUGCUCAGCUUAUAAGGAAACACAAAGCAACAGACCAACUAAGUACAGCAUUCCUAAGAUCUAUAUAGUAAAUAUGAAGGUGUUCCUGCUCAAUAAAUGUAUUCCUAUGGAGCACUUUAGAUGCGCCUACGGCAGGGGUCCUCAGGAUGUCAAUGUCAACACAGCACAGCGCCGUAGAUCUCGCCCUGUGAACCUCUCUGCCUCUCCAGUCAGUCUAACAACAUGAAUUAACUCACACUGUCCAGACAUGGCGUAACAAUUCAAGAGGCACCUUUUCUGUCAAUCUAUGAAGCUAUACUUUUAACCAUAUGCUCUCCUUUAGGACAUUCAUGAAGUUCAGAUGUUGUGGGAUGAACUUUGUACACAAUAAACACAAGUAUCUGCACAUACGGAUCCCUGGGUACAGCUGUUUUCUAGAUGUGGUGGUCCUAGCAAAGAGCUCUUCCUUCAUCCGUCCUCUUCUCUGCACAACUCCUGUCCAGGAUGCUGCCAGUCUUACAAAGGUCACCCCCAGAAGACAGCCCUUCUUUUGGGCACUGGAACUUAUUCUCUAAUACUUGGCAACAUUCACCAUUAACUGAAAUGCACACAGGAACAGUGGCUAGGCCGGUGGAACCAACCAACGGGCAGCGCCUUGCCCUGCACUAUUCUUUCUCCUAUUCGCCUCCACCAGGUAACAGUAUCUGCUCAAAGACAAAGCUUACCAAUUCCACACCCCCCAUAACCAUUCCUAUGAAAUAAUAAUCCUUAAAAGGUGUUAACUCUCUAUUUUUACCAUGUGCAUUUUUUACAUUAAUUAGUACAUGUGGGCACAUGCAUGCCACUUGUAUAAGGCUAUAAGACAAUUUGUGAAUCACUUUUCUCCUUUCAUCAUGGGGAUCCUGGCAAGCAGACUCAGGCCACCAGCUGGGUGACAAGCCCCUUUAUCUGCUGGGCCAUCCCAACAGUCCAUUAUGCACAUUUUCUUACUGUUUUGAGACAAAGUCUGUGUAGCCCUGGCUGGCCUGGAACUCACAAGAUCCACCUGCCUCAACCUAGGAUUAAAGGUAUGCAUUACCGCACCAAAUCUAUUAUGCACUUUAAAGUCUAAAGACUAGAUGUUUCCACUAACACUUCUGUUUCCCCAGCAUAUGUACAAUGCAGUGCAGUAAAUAAACUGCACACACCUAUAAAUAGCAACCUUCUGGUCUAGAACCUCUCCCCAUCUCUCUUAACCCAGUUUAUGUAACUUAUGUUUUUUUUUUUUUUGUGGGGAUAUUAACAAUUUCACGUCCUAAAUGGUUUUGAGUUUUUUCCUAUGAAUUUUCACAACUUUAAAAUAUGUCUUUUCACUAACUCUACUUUGUCACACACUGGCAGCCUCUUCUCCAUCUAGGAAGACUAAGUGCUGCAUAUUUGGAUUUGGUUGUCUUACCAUACACCACACAUUGCAAAAAUAAGAUACACAGAUAAAAGGGACAAUGGCUAAUCUUCAUUACCAAAACUUACAUUAGUAUUAGGCCCUUCAUAACUCUUUCUUCCUCCCUCCCAAACCAGCACACGUCAUAUUGCUCAGAAGUGAUUUUAGCAUUCCAUUUCCAAAAGACAUUUCACCACGAGUUUAAACAGAAUAAUGUACAGAAUAAUCUACAACAAGUAUUAUUUACUACGUCUACCUUUAACAUACUUUGUGCACUUCUAAACACCUAGAAGGACUAGAUGUUUCAGAUGAGGACAUAAAUGUGUCCCCUAUAUACAGAGUAGUGUUGAAACCACACACAUGUAACAAUGAGUAGAUCUCAAAGUGUCUUCUGCUGAGAGCAUUCUGGGCUCCCACCUCCUUUCUCUCCAGCCCCUCCCCUGUAUCAUGUGACACAGGCACCUGAUACUUUCACCACUCCUUUCAGAAGACAACCUUGCUAUGACUUUUAAUACAGAGUAUAUAGAAUGGGCUAGUUUACCGACUCUACUUUUGCCAUACACUGGCAACCUCUUUAAUACCUAGAAACUAAAAUCAGGACUCCUUUGUCCAGUAUGUACAAUAUAUACAGUAUAGCAAAGUUAAAUGAAGUAUAUACAGGGGGUGAUGGGUAAGCUAAAACUAUCUAGCACACUAAUGGAAUCUUUUUGCAGUUUCUUCCCCCCCACCUCCUCAAUCCACUGAACAAGUACAGCUGGUACUGUUCUCAGAGGUGGGUUAGCAAUUCUACUCUAAACAUAGUAUCUCCAGUUUUUCAAAAUUUAUUUACAUGAAGUUUUAUUCUACUACUUCUACUUUUAAAUGUAAACUUAUCUGCUAUUCACACCGCACUAGUAAAUAAAACUAUGUAAAGCAAUGGUUAUUAUCUGAGGUAUCUUCUAAACGUAACCAUCUGGGCUUUGACCCACUUUCUUCUUUUCUCCCUUCUGUCUGCCUUCAAACCAGUAGACAAAUAUAGGCAUAUGCAAUGCUUAGAAAUUGCUGAACAAAUUCAUAUCCCCAAAUCAUUUACACGGCAAUCUUUCCUAUAAAUUUUAACAGUGUACACAAUGUGCUAAUUUUGUCAUACACUGGCAACCUCUUUAACAUUUAGCGAGUAGAAGCUGACAUGUCCAUUAUAUACAGUAUACACAGAGCAAAACAAAAUGCAAAUAUAUAGAAGUGGCAUCUGAAAAGGUCCCAUAUAAAAAACACUACCUCGAUGUCUCCCAGCGCUUCCUCCAGAGCACUGAGCAAGUACAGGCAGUACUGCUCAUAGAGGUGCUCAUAAUUCUACUCCCAAAGACAGUGUUUCAUGAAUUUUAGCAAAAAGAUAUUUACAAAGUGAUAUUUCACUACCUCUACAUUUAACAUACGUUGGGCACUUCUAAACAUCUGGAUAGACCAGAUGUUUCAAGUAAGGACUGUUGUCCACUAUGUACACAGCAGUCCAGUAAACAGCACACAUGGAACAAGAGUAAUAAUUAAAAAAUUUUUUAACACAAAAAGAAAAAUUUUAACACAAAAGUACAAAAUAUUGUUCUACUACCUCUACUUUGUCAUACACUGGCAACCUCUUUAACAUCUAGAGUGACUAGAUGCUGUGAAUAGGACCCCUUUGUCCUUUAUAUAUACUAUGUACACAGCAAAGCCAAACGAAAUGGGACAGUGGGUUUUUUCCACCCAUGGAGCACAAUGACUUAGAGCUCUACAUUUCCUUCUCCUGGAAACCAGGGAACAAACACAAUGUGGUCACCUCAGGAGGGCUUUGGCUAUUCCUCCCCAAACAAUAUUUCAAAUGAAUCCUAACAAAAACGUAUUUACAUAAUGUAUUGUUUUACUACUACUAAUAAAAUAUGUCAGGCACUUUAGAGUAUCUAGAAAGAUAUUUCCCCAAAAAUACUUGGCAUUGUCAAACACACACCACACCACACCACACCCACACACGCAGGCACAUACACACACGGGGGAGGGGGGGUGUUGAAAUGAAUAAAAUGCAUACACAAUGCAAUAGAAUACAAAAGAAGACGUCUUCACACGACCAAUCUGGCUCCGGACCUCCUCUUCCUCCUGCUGGGUCCUCUAACCUAUUGAACAAACUAGGACGAGUGUCGCUCCUGGGGUCUUUUCUAGAGGUGGCUUAAACAAUUCCAUUGCAAAGUCACUUCUGGAAGACACGUCUACGAUGUUUCUAAAGACGACUGGAUACACACAUGUGAUGUCCUACCUCUACUUUACCCUGCGUCGGCAAUCUCUACAGCUAGCUGGAUGUCCAGAUUUCGCCAAAGGCCUUCUACGGCGGCGGCUGCGUCUUCGCCAGCCUUUCCGACUGGCCGCAAGCGAUGUCACGUCCCGGCUUCUCUCGGGUGGAAGGAGGACCCGCGCCCCCACGAUCCGUCGAUCCUCGGGCUGCUAUGCGUUCCUCCAGGACCGUGGGGACCUCUGUCGAUCCAGGUCUAAGGGCUCGACAACCGGGCGGGUCCCUCGCAGCGAAGGCCGAGUGCUCUGCGCAGAUCCGCCGCCUCAGGCUGCAGAGGCCCCGAAGAGCCAACCUUGGCCUUCGGGUGGCCACCAUUCUUCCCGCCACGCCACGCCCGCCCGCCGACUCCAGGGAGGGGUCCUCGAAGGCCGGCUGGGGGCUUCUGCAUGGCCCGGCCCCGGGGAGCAGGGGUCCGGCGGGGUCGAGGAGGCCUCGCGCAGAGGGCGCCGCCAUCGCGGCGCUUCGUUGGCGGAGGAAGAGUCGCUGUCGGGUCGCGGAUCGGCCGGGCCGGCGCCGCUGGGAGGGCUCGGGCUCCUGGGGUCCGCAGGACGUAGACCGGAGCUGCCCCCGGGCCCCCCGGCUCACCCGGCGCAGGCCGGAGGCGGUGGGGGGCCCGGAGGAAGGAGGCCGCACUCCCUAGCUCGCCACGCUCUCUGCCGGAACUGACUUGGCAGUUCUCCUCGCUCAAAC
rnacentral:lncRNA from 1 species